rnacentral:rRNA from 1 species
GGGGAACCUGAUUGCUUAUUGCACCACAUGUGUUUUUUAUUGAACAAAUUUCUUUGGUGGCGGGAGCAAUCCUACCGCCAGAGGUUAUAACUAAACCAAACUUUUUAUUUACAGUCAAACUUGAUUUAUUAUUACAAUAGUCAAAACUUUCAACAACGGAUCUCUUGGUUCUCGCAUCGAUGAAGAACGCAGCGAAAUGCGAUACGUAAUAUGAAUUGCAGAUAUUCGUGAAUCAUCGAAUCUUUGAACGCACAUUGCGCCCUUUGGUAUUCCAAAGGGCAUGCCUGUUUGAGCGUCAUUUCUCCCUCAAACCCCCGGGUUUGGUGUUGAGCAAUACGCUAGGUUUGUUUGAAAGAAUUUAACGUGGAAACUUAUUUUAAGCGACUUAGGUUUAUCCAAAAACGCUUAUUUUGCUAGUGGCCACCACAAUUUAUUUCAUAACUUUGACCUCAAAUCAGGUAGGACUACCCGCUGAACUUAAGCAUAUCAAAAGCGGGAAGAAA